CGGCCCUGCAACACUAUAAAAGGUUUAUACAAUUGUAACCCCAGACCUUUUUCUGUCGAUUUUCUUGGAGGUACAGUACUUGUGUGAAACUGUUGUUGUUAUUGACAAUUUAAUAUGCUGAAAAUAUAUUUGUGUUGACAUCCUGUUUUUAUUGUUAUUGUAUUGUCAGUUGGAUUUGGAGUAAAAAAAAAAAAAUCUACAACCAUGUCUGCCCCAUGCAGAUAACCCUGCUAUGCAACCUGUUUCUAAGUCAACCUACACCAAUCCAUCUUUCAAGUCUUCACUGAUUUACAAUGACCUUUUCAUGAAGGCAUUUCUUUGUGAGUAUUCAACACUAUAAUGCAGUCAACAUAGAUGAAUACCUUCUAUCCCACCUAUCCUUGUCCUUUCAAUGAGAAGAUGGAACAGGUUUUCUCUUUAGGAUAGAACGGGAAAGGUACCAGUGUGCCAGGAAUUGAAGGUGCCCAGUGACUGUGGGAAUAUAUUCAUUUGAAUGGUAACGCAUCCCUUUUGGAGGCUGCUGAUGAGGCUGGGGCAGAGAGCACAGUGCUCCCUCAGACUUGCUGAGUCAUUCCGGUUGAGACAAAGGAAUUUUGUCAGCUGUCAUUGGUUGGUUGGGUGGGCAUGGUUCUGCUUGUGUUUGGUGAGGUCUCUAGGUCUUCAUUGCUGUAAGAUUGGAAUACAACAAAUACAAUGACAUGCUGUUGGUUCCAAGGUAAUAGCAGUGUAUCUGGCAACCUAAACAAUAUUGUCUUUACCUACCAUUAUAUCUCCUCCGGCGGCUCCAGUACAGCUUCGUCCUCAAGGAAGUCCACACUCAAUACUGUGACUGGUUAAAAUUCCGCUUUUGAGUCUUCAUAACACUUGGGAAUAAAGCACUAAUGAUUCUCACAACCAUCUCCGUAAUGGACGACAGACAGUCCAUUGGGAGGAGGUCUUCUUCCUAAAACAUAGAUAAAUGAUUGUAACUAAUGAGGACAGUAAUACAGACAUUGUUAAUAUUACUUUAUGUUUAGC
rnacentral:lncRNA from 1 species